rnacentral:rRNA from 1 species
GACGAACGCUGGCGGCGUGCCUAAUACAUGCAAGUUGAGCGCUGAAGGUUGGUACUUGUACCAACUGGAUGAGCAGCGAACGGGUGAGUAACGCGUGGGGAAUCUGCCUUUGAGCGGGGGACAACAUUUGGAAACGAAUGCUAAUACCGCAUAAAAACUUUAAACACAAGUUUUAAGUUUGAAAGAUGCAAUUGCAUCACUCAAAGAUGAUCCCGCGUUGUAUUAGCUAGUUGGUGAGGUAAAGGCUCACCAAGGCGAUGAUACAUAGCCGACCUGAGAGGGUGGUCGGCCACAUUGGGACUGAGACACGGCCCAAACUCCUACGGGGGGCAGCAGUAGGGAAUCUUCGGCAAUGGACGAAAGUCUGACCGAGCAACGCCGCGUGAGUGAAGAAGGUUUUCGGAUCGUAAAACUCUGUUGGUAGGGAAGAACGUUGGUGGGAGUGGAAAGCGCAUCAAGUGACGGUAACUACCCAGAAAGGGACGGCUAACUACGUG